rnacentral:rRNA from 1 species
GAUGAACGCUAGCGGCAGGCCUAAUACAUGCAAGUCGUACGGCAACACAGUUGCGAGCAAUCGCAACCGGUGGCGAGUGGCGCACGGGUGAGUAACGCGUAUGUAACCUACCCUUCUCCGGGACAUAACUCCGCGAAAGCGGUGCUAAUAUCCCAUACCAACUCAUCAAGACAUCUUCUUGAGUUGAAAGCAGCAAUGCGGUGAAGGAUGGGCAUGCGUCCCAUUAGCUGGUUGGUGAGGUAAUGGCCCACCAAGGCUACGAUGGGUAGGGGUUCUGAGAGGAAACGCCCCCACACUGGUACUGAGACACGGACCAGACUCCUACGGGAGGCAGCAGUAAGGAAUAUUGGGCAAUGGUCGAAAGACUGACCCAGCCAUGCCGCGUGCAGGAUGAAGGCCCUAUGGGUUGUAAACUGCUUUUAGCCGGGAAUAAACCACCCGUUUUAUAACGGGCCCGAAGGUACCGCUGAAUAAGCAUCGGACUAACUCCGUGCCAGCAGCCG